rnacentral:rRNA from 1 species
AUGGCUCGGUUUUCGACUCAUCUCGUCGCCUUGUUCCUCUUCUCACAUCUCGUGAUCCCCUCAUCAUCGGCGACAACUCGGCUCGGAGCCGAUCUCCUCGGCGCGGCGCGCGCGCCUCCGUUCGAAUCAUGGCUGCGCGGCCUGCGGCGCCGCAUCCACCAGCACCCGGAGCUGGCCUUCCAGGAGCACCGCACAAGCGAGCUCGUGCGCGCCGAGCUCGACGCGCUCGGCAUUCCAUAUGUCUGGCCCGUCGCCCAGACCGGCGUCGUGGCGACCAUCGCCGGAGGCGGCGGCGGCUCCGGGCCAGUCGUCGCGCUACGGGCGGACAUGGACGCGCUCCCCCUGCAGGAAUUGGUAGACUGGGAGUACAAGAGCCUCGAAAAUGGCAAGAUGCAUGCUUGUGGACAUGAUGCCCAUGUGACAAUGCUUCUAGGAGCUGCCAAGCUACUUCAAUCUCGGAAAGAAGAUUUAAAGGGUACUGUCAAGCUUGUGUUCCAGCCUGCUGAAGAGGGCUAUGCCGGGGCUUACUACAUUUUAGAGGAGGGUGUCAUCGAUGAUGUCUCCGCCAUUUUUGGCUUGCAUGUCUUCCCACAUCUUCCUGUAGGGGUUGUCGCAUCCCGGCCUGGUCCUUUCCUUGCAGCUGCAGCUCGGUUUACCGCAACAAUCACCGGAAAAGGCGGGCACGCCGGUAACCCUCACGAUGCCGUUGAUCCUGUCAUUGCUGCUUCCUCCGCCAUUCUCAACCUUCAGCAACUGGUCGCCCGUGAAACCGAUCCACUCGAAGCAGCUGUAGUGUCUGUUACACAGCUGAGAGGAGGUGAUGCUUACAAUGUAAUUCCCGAAUCUGCGUCGUUCGGUGGCACCUUUCGGAGCAUGACAGAUGAAGGCCUGUCAUAUCUAAUGAAAAGGGUCAAAGAGAUCAUAGAAGCCCAGGCUGCCGUGCAUCGCUGUGCUGCCACUGUCGACUUCAUGGAGGAGAAGCUAAAGCACUACCCAGCCACCGUCAACGAUGAAGGGAUGUAUGCCCAUUCCAAGGAAGUGGCCGAGGCCAUGCUCGGGGAAGCUAAUGUGAAGGUGGCUCCCCGGAGCAUGGGCAGCGAGGACUUCGCGUUCUACGCGCAGAGAGCGGUGGGCGCAUUCUUUUUCAUCGGCGUAGGCAACGAGACCACCAUGGAUAUGGUUCAUCCGGCGCACUCCCCACAUUUCGUCCUCGAUGAGGAUGUUCUUCCUAUUGGAGCUGCAUUUCACGCCGCGGUUGCCAUUGAGUACCUGAGCCGCUCUUGA